CUUGGCGGCAACAUCGACGGAGACAGAAGUAGACGGAGGAGGCUCCUCCUCCUCCGCGGAUCCAUCGCUUCCUCCUUUUCUCUUGGAAAGCACGUCCUGGAGAUUCGAGACGAGCGCGGCCGACAAGCCGUUGUUCUUCGAGGUCAUCGUGUCGAAAGAGAGAGCACGCAGAUGAGGUGGGUCCUGUCUUGAAGACGAAGAAGAAAGUUGAGAGAGAGAGAGAGAGAGAGCGGGUCUAACGGAGGAAAGAGAGAAGCUUUAAUUGGCAGAGAGAGAGAGAGAUUACUUGUGUCAACUGUUAUCUCUUUUUAGAUAGAGAAGAGGAAGGAAGAACAGUGACGCGCUAUUUUUUCCAACCAGAAAACAUAAAUAUUACAUUUAAGUGAAUAAAAUAUUUAUUUUAGUAAUAUUUUAGUUAAUUAGCCAUAUAAAUACAUAAACCUUAUAAUUAAAAUAAAUUAUUUGGAAUACUAUUUUUUACAAGUUAAUAUAACUCGUAAACUUUUACUUAUGCAUAUAAAGACCUGAACCUUGAAAUUAAAAUAAAUUGAUUAAUUUUUUUUUCUGGUUAGGGUCAAAAGAAUGAAACAUGUUAUGAAUGGUCCACAUCUAAUAAUUAUUCAGUUAUUAUGGUAUGCAUUUAAAGAUAUUGUGGAAAAUAAUUUGAACCGACAGCAUCAUAGUAUCAUGUUGGUUGAUAAUUAAAACUGUUAAUUGUUGCUAGAUCAUAUGCUACUGUAGUUUUUUUUUCUUAUAUCAAAAUAGCCUUUUGAUUUAAUUAGUUUUAGUUGCACUAUGUUAUUUAUGCUUUAUUACUGAAUUGGGUACAACCCAUGUUUGAAACUACGCUAGGGGCGAGUUGGGCACUCGACCGGAGCCUAGCGAGUUAAAAAAAAAUCGGAAAUUAAUCGACGAUUAAUCGGAUAUCAGUUUUGUGUAUCGUUCUCAGUUUUUUGAUAAAUGUAUAUAUUAUUACUCGGUUUACAUAAAGAAAAUCAAUUGUUAAUGUGGUCUAGUGGUCAUCUUGUGUCUUAACUGAGCGUCAGUUACCGAGUUCAAACUCAGUGUAGUGUUUAUUUUGCCUCUUUCAUUUUUUAUUCAUUAAUGGCACAUCUGUAAUUUUGUCAUCCUCUUCCUCCCGAUUUUUAGGUUACGGAGAAAAAAAUUUCCAUUUGUGACAAAAAAAUGAGAAAAUUUUCUCUAUUAUUUUUACGUUUCUCUGGCUGUUUAUGCAUCAAACUUGUAGAUCUAACAUAUUGCACCCGAUUUCAAGCUUCCGAACCCCAAAAACGUGAAUUAUUUUGGUGACUCCGAUUUAAUACCCGAGUUUGACGAAAUCGGUAUGCUUCACCACCGCACAGCGUAUUUCUGCCCUGCGUUAUCGGUCACGUUUUAGAACCUGGGGUACAACUACAUUAAAUAAAAUAUCUGAAGAACAAACUACAAUUUCUAUAUUUGUCUACUUGAUAGCUUAUUCUAGGUAAUAAAGUAUUUUUUUUAGUUAGGGUUGCAUUCUAUUACUAAUAAUUUAAAACUGAUUUAUGAAUGAAUGGAGGAAUAUUGUAGGGUCUCUAAGUCAAGUAACGAAUUAGAAAAUGUAUCAAUACGAGGGUAGUGUUGUAGAUGAGAUUAUUGUCUCCCUAACUCGUCCGAAGUCGUCAUGAUUGAAAAGACGCAGAAAGUACAUCGAAUGUCAUGCUCUUGGUAUGAAAUCAUUUCCCUUUUCUGAAAAGAACGUCAAGUACUAUUAGGGGGAAGAUGGCGAGGGAGAUGUUUGAAUAUAAUCUUUGCUACUAUAAGGACGGAGAUGUUGCAGACUACAGCAACUUGGAUAUGUACGUAGGCUAGUGAUGUGUAAUCUUCUCUCCUUUUGGUGCUUACUUUUGUUAGAACUCUUGGAUGUGUAGUUUGUAACCUCUUUUGUCCUCUUUUGUAACCUUGUAGUACGUUAACAAGGUAGGAUAUGAGUAACUUUUUUUGAAACCUAUCCUCCUACCAACUAGUUCGGUAGUGCAUCUAACAAGGAACUUGUUCUAUUGUUCAUAACAGAAAGUGUAUAAGUGAAAAGACGAUAGAAAUAAGUCAUAAAACAAGUACAUAAGUCAAAAGACAAUAGAAAUAAGUCAUAACACAAAUACAUAAGUGGAAAGACAAUAGAUGGUAAUAAGUCAUAACACAAUACAUAACAAAGCAAAUAGAAAGAUACGUGGAAGAGUUCUAGACGACUUUAUAACGACCUUCAGACGACUCACAUAAGAUUUGUUUCCAGAAGACUUGAUGAAGACCUUAUGACGACUCGUACACGACUUUCAGGAAGACUUACUUCUCAGAAGACUUUCACCUUGACUAUAAUUUUUUUCCAAACGUAUGUAAUUAUAUAAAUUUAUAAUCUGAAAUAAUCAAAUAGAUAAACCCCUUAAAAUAUAUAUUUUUAAUUUCUACAGUUUUCAUACAAAAUUCUCUUAUAAUUUAUUUAGUUAUACUAUAGAAUAGAUAUUUGUGUAGGAUAAUUUAUAUUUUCUUGUUGUGUUUAAAAAUAUACUUUAGCAUGUAUAUUUUUAGUACAUAUCUGGAUUUUGUAAGUAAUUAUUUUAUUAAAUUUUAUACAUGGUUUACGAAUUUAAAUAUCUUUUGAUGGUGAAUGAUAUUUUAAAUGAUUUUUUUUCAAAAAUAAAUAAGUUAAUUUAUUAAUUUAAUAUAAUUUUUCUAUUUAGUUCAUAUAGUACUUCUAUUUAGUUCAUAUAGUUUAGUUCAUGUAUAAUUGUUGAUUCGGGUUACAACAAAGAGACCGUUUUCGCAAGUAUAAAAACGCUCUUUACAAAGUCGUCUGAAGUCAUCAUGAAGUCUUCUCAUGUUUGUACUUGUAACAUACCAAUCAUGUUUCUGUGUUGUCAUACUGGAUAUAACCAGUAUUAGAUUGUUAAAACCACUUCGGAAAGCAAAGUAUCUAAAACAUUAGAACUUAAACAUCAGAACCAAGUCAGGAAAGUAGAAGCGGAAACAUGGGAAUACAAAAUGAAAGAAAUGGGCGUUGACAAUCCUGAAUCAUUUACUUAUAUGCGGCCGCCGUGAAAAAGUCUGGUCUCAUUAAUAUGCAUCCUCGUGAAGAUAUCCCUAGAUUUCGUGUGCUAGGUGCAACUGGCUGCUUCUGAUGAAGCUGUAACUCACCGUGUAGCUGUGACUCCAACACAUUAUCCACUAUCCCAUUCCGCUGUUUCCUCUUCCUAUUCCUCACAUAGGCCUGCACUGGCUUCUGAUGAAGCUGUAACUCACAGUGUAGCUCUUCUUCCUCGUUCGUUCCCGUCGGUUCCCGUAGAGGCUGUGUCUCAUCACGAGGCUGAAAAGAGGAACUUUGAGGCUGAAUAGGGGAAUAUUGAGUCUGUGACCGUAGCUCACCGUGUAGCUGUAACUCCCGCUCUUCUUCCUCGUUCAUUCCCGUCGGUUCACAUCUGUUCCCGUCCAUUCUCGUCUGUUCCUCUAUUCCGUUUUGAUGAAAAGAGGAAUCUUGUUGCUCAUUACCAGGCUGAAAAGAGGAAUUUUGAGGCUGUGGCUCAUCUUCCUCUUCUUCGUUUUGAUGAAAAGAGGAAUGUUGAGGCUGUGUCUCAUUAUCAGGCUGAAAAGGGGAGGAAUAUUGACCCUGUGGAUCAUCACGAGGCUGUCCUUUCAAAGCUUCCAAUUGUGCUCUUAAGUCAAAAAUUGCUUUGUCUUGUUGAUCGGAUUUCUUCUUCAAUAACUCCACUUCUCUUUGAAUUAUCUCAUCUUCUCCCACCUCCAGGUUUGUCUCUAAAUUAUCCUCAUUUCUUUCUCUUGUGUUCUCUUUGACUUCAACAACCCGGUUGGAUUGAUCUUUUUUUGUAGAGAUGAUCCCAGCAAAUUUUCUUUUGUUCCAUCAAAACAAGUUUCCAGUUGUUGAUGGUGGAAUAAUCUGUUUCGGGUUCUUGAACUUAUGCCACCAGAUGAUGCUCAUCAAUCGUAGGUAUCAAAAUAGACUCGAUGUUUGUAAAAAUAAAAAGCAAUAAGUCUUUCGUACGUCUUUCUUAAGUCUUUAAUGAGUUUUUCUGCCUCAUCCGCUUAUCAGUUGUACCAUCAUACCAAAAUCAAAUCAGCAUAUUAUACAACAUAUUAUGCAUUUCAAACUAAGAAACCAGCAUACCAAAAUCAAACUAACCUUAUCAGUUCCUAAUGAUCUCUAUACGCCAUUCAGUGAAAAGCUUUUUUCGCCUGUUUUGCGAAAUUCCAUCUUACACAUCCGUGGACAUGUAUUCACUGCUCCUCGUACAGGCAAUCGAUAUUUGCUCUUGAGGUUUGCAAUACAUUCAAAAGGAAAUAUCUGCAGAGUUCAAAAAUAAGUCAGUGAAUUCAAAGUCUUUGAUUCAGAAAGAAAGUACAACGCAGAAAGAAACCUCAAAGUCAGAAAGAAACCUCUUAGGGAGUAAUGAAGCAGGGUAAAUUCCAACUAUUCAAGGAAGGCUUGGAACGCUCUUUCAUCUUGUCUGCCAGGAUAUAUAAGCAGUACUUAAAUGACAGAGUGCCCCACGGAAAGGUCUGACACAGAUCUAAAUGGUUCACUAACUUAAGGAAGAAUGGGUCUAAAAGACAUUUUCCUUUAUUCUUCCUUCUUAUAAUGAUAGAUCCUAUGAAGUAUAACAAUGUCAUUUUCACAAGAUCUUCAUUAUCCUCAGCCAUUGACAAGAAUUUUUCUUCAACGUCUAACCGAUCAACCUUAUCUAUGUCUAAAAAGUUCCUAUGAGCGAAACUGAGACUUAAACUAUGCUUCUCUGCAAAGCUUUUCUUUGACGGGAGUUCAUCGCAGCACAAUCUCGUUAACAAGACAUGUUCCCUAAUGGAAUAUCUAACUGGGAUGCCAUUAACAACAGGUCACCACUGAUUAUCCUUGAUGUAAGCAGUUCUAAUAGCUAAAGCCCACAGUCCCAUGAGUUUAUGAGAGCUGUAUCUAGGCAUAUGAAAAACAUACUUAAAUUGUGGGUGAUGGUGAAACCAAGCAAUCUUAUCAUCCUUCAGCUUUGUCUCUAUUACAUCAAGUGUUUCCUUAACCCGGCACGACGUUCCCAUUCUACACAUCUGCCUAUAACAGGACGGAUCAAAUAACAUUUCUGGCGGAGGAACAGGCUCUGUACCUAUCGAACCCCUAGCAUAUCAACAUUCCAAAAUUUCAACCCAAAUCCACAACCCAAAUACAAACACAAAUCCACUAUUCAAUUGAUCCACUUACCUGUUGUCAGAGACUCCGACCAUCGAACUAGGGUUCCGGAGGUCUUCGGCAAUCGAACUCGAGUUCCGGGGGUCCGGAACCCUAGUUCGAUGGUCGGAGUCUCUGACAACAGGUAAGUGGAUCAAUUGAAUUGUGGAUUUGUGUUGUGUAUUUGGAUUGUUGAUUUGGGUUGAAAUUUUUGAAUGUUGAUAUGCUAAGGGUUCGAUAGGUACAGAGUAUGUUCCUCCGCCAGAAAUGUUAUUUGAUCCGUCCUGUUAUAGGCAGAUGUGUAGAAUAGGAACGUCGUGCCGGGUUAAGGAAACACUUGAUGUAAUAAAGACAAAGCUGAAGGAUGAUAAGAUUGCUUGGUUUCACCAUCACCCACAAUUUAAGUAUGUUUUUCAUAUGCCUAGAUACAGCUCUCAUAAACUCAUGGGACUGUGGGCUUUAGCUAUUAGAACUGCUUACAUCAAGGAUUAUCAGUGGUGGCGUGUUGUUAAUGGCAUCCCAGUUAGAUAUUUCAUUAGGGAACAUGCCUUGUUAACGGGAUUGUGAUGCGAUGAACUCCCGUCAAAGAAAAGCUUUGCAGAGAAGCAUAGUUUAAAUCUCAGUUUCGCUCAUAAGAACUUUUUAGACAUAGAUAAGGUUGAUCGGUUAGACGUUGAAGAAAAUUUUUUGUCAAUGGCUGAGGAUAAUGAAGAUCUUGUGAAAAUGGCAUUGUUAUACUUCAUAGGAUCUAUCAUUAUAAGAAGGAAGAUUAAAGGAAAAGGUCUUUUAGACCCCUUUGUCCUUAAGUUAGUGAACCAUUUAGAUCUGUGUCAGACCUUUCUGUGGGGUACUCUGUCUUUUAAGUACUGCUUAGAUAUCCUGGCAGACAAGAUGAAAGAGCAUUCGGAGCGUUCCAAGCCUUCCUUGAAUAGUUGGAAUUUACCCUGCUUCAUAACUCUUUUAGAGGUUUCUUUCUGACUUUGAGGUUUCUUUAUGCGUUGUACUUUCUUUCUGAAUCAAAGACUUUGAAUUCACUGACUUAUUUUUGAACUCUGCAGAUAUUUCCUUUUGAAUGUAUUGCAAACCUCAAGAGCAAAUAUUGAUUGCCUGUACGAGGAGCAGUGAAAACAUGUCCACGGAUGUGUAAGAUGAAAUUUCGCAAAACGGGCGAAAAAAGCUUUUCACUGAAUGGCAUAUAGAGAUCAUUAAGAACUGAUAAGGUUAGUUUGAUUUUGGUAUGCUGGUUUCUUAGUUUGAAAUGCAUAAUAUGUUGUAUAAUAUGCUGGUUUGAUUUUGGUAUGCUGGUACAACUGAUAAGCGGAUGAGGCAGAAAAACUCAUUAAAGACUUAAGGAAGACGUACGAAAGACUUAUUGCUUUUUAUUUUUACAGGACAUCGAGUCUAUUUUGGUACCUACGAUUGAUAAGCAUCAUCUGGUGGCAGAAUUCCAAGAACCCGAAACAUAUCAUUCCACCAUCAACAACUGGAAACAUGUUUUGAUGGAACAAAAGAAAAUUUGCUAGGAUCAUCUCUACGAAAAAGAUCAAUCCAACCGGGUUGUUGAAGUCAAAGAGAACAAAAGAGAAAAAAAUGGGGAUAAUUUAGAGAAAAACCUGGAGGUGGGAGAAGAUGAGAUAAUUCAAAGAAAAGUGGAGUUAUUGAAGAAGAAAUCCGAUCAACAAGACAAAGCGAUUUUUGACUUAAGAGCACAAUUGGAAGCUUUGAAAAGACAGUCUCGUGAUGAUCCACAGCCUCAAUAUUCCUCCCCUUUUCAGCCUGAUAAUGAGACACAGCCUCAAUAUUCCUCUUUUCAUCAAAACGAAGAAGAGGAAGAUGAGCCACAGCCUCAAAAUUCCUCUUUUCAGCCUGGUAAUGAGCAACAAGAUUCCUCUUUUCAUCAAACGAAAUAGAGGAACAGACGAGAAUGGACGGGAACAGAUGUGAACCGACGGGAAUGAACGAGGAAGAAGAGCGGGAGUUACAGCUACACAGUGAGCUACGGUCACAGACUCAAUAUUCCCCUAUUCAGCCUCAAAGUUCCUCUUUUCAGCCUCGUGAUGAGACACAGCCUCUACGGAAACCGACGGGAACGAACGAGGAAGAAGAGCUACACUGUGAGUUACAGCUUCAUCAGAAGCCAGUGCAGGUCUAUGUGAGGAAUAGGAAUAGGAAACAGCGGAAUGGGAUAGUGGAUAAUGUGUUGGAGUCACAGCUACACAGUGAGUUACAGCUUCAUCAGAAGCAGCCAGUAGCACCCAGCACACGAAAUCUAGGAAUAUCUUCACGAGGACGCAUAUUAAUGAGACCAGACUUUUUCACGGCGGCCGCAUAUAAGUAAAUGAUUCAUGAUUGUCAACGCCCAUUUCUUUCAUUUUGUAUUCCCAUGUUUCCGCUUCUACUUUCCUGACUUGGUUCUGAUGUUUAAGUUCUAAUGUUUUAGAUACUUUGCUUUCCGAAGUGGUUUUAACAAUCUAAUACUGGUUAUAUCCAGUAUGACAACACAGAAACAUGAUUGGUAUGUUACAAGUACAAACAUGAGAAGACUUCAUGAUGACUUCAAAAGACUUUGUAAAGAGCGUUUUCAUACUUGCGAAAACGGUAUCUUUGUUGUAACCCGAAUCAACAAUUAUACAUGAACUAAACUAUAUGAACUAAAUAGAAGUGCUAUAUGAACUAAAUAGAAAAAUUAUGAUCAUGAUUAGAUACUAAUCAAUGUAAACCAAUAGAAAUAACCAAUUGUUGCAUAAUUAAUAAGCAAGUUAGGUUGAACUUGUUUUCACUUAACGGUAGUGAGUUGCACAUGAUGAUAUAAUAAUUGUCAAACUUAUUAAUAUCAUAAGGCUACCAUUCAGCAAAGCAAUAACAUGAGAUGAGUGAACACGUCUUUAGAGUUGUUUGAUAAUUUAAACCACAACAAUAAUUCUACCGUGACACAUAUGUGCAGUUUGAAAGUUAUUAAAGCAUGUUAUGAUUUAAUAAGAGAGCUUAUCUUUGUGGUGAAGAGCAAACAAGCGUCCGAGGUUGCCGAACUUUGUUUGUAUCUUGGUGAAGAAGCUACCAUAAGCAUCACUUCAAGACCUUGGUAUCGUCAUAACAACUUGUGGCCGAGAAUACAAGAAGAAUCAAACUCUUCUCAUCUCCAGUCGCCAAGAAUCUUGACUUGUGCUGUUGAGGUUGCUAAGUCCCGCCAUUGUCUAAGCUCUCGGAGACGGUUGUAGUGAGCUCAGAGGGAAUUGCUCUAAAAACUGGUCCUCUCAUCUGAGUUGAGAUGAUGAUGAGCUCGGUGUAUCAUACAGCAAGUUGAACAGCUCGUUCUUAGAGAAAGAGAAUGGCAAUUACGAGAUCAUAAACAUGCCGAGCUGUUUUAGAUCUUCAUCUAUAAUCUCUUUCGUUUAUAUUCUUCUCGGCACUUGAUUGGAAAGAGGUGAUGCUGAUAAUCAUGUGACUGAACUCGUUGCGGUGUUGGAGACGCACACAUUCACACGUUUGAGGAAUUCAUCAUUCUUGAUAGCAAUACACCGAGAUCAGGCUGAUUGUCGAGUUGCUGGAAUCUGAAGAUAAGGUCGUGUCUCAUGUGCUGUUUCUUCUUGACGAGGAGUUUGUGCCGGUUGUGGCAAGCUUAUGGAGCUUUUCCAAUAUCAAACCAUGGCUGCCGAGAUCACAAUUUGAUUUAUGUGACAAGAAGCUUGAGAACUCUGUAGAGAAUUGUUGAUGGAGAUCAUGCUCUUGCCGAAGUGGCUGGUGAACCCAUGUCGUCACGGCGUGGAUUGGAUUCUUCGCGUCUCUCUCUCUGUCCUCAUGUUCUUCGCGAUUCUGGGAAUAAGCUCGAGCAGUUCCAGAGGCUUCACCGGCGGACGGAGACAAGAUCAAGCUCGUGAGCUUCGCCGAGAUUAAUUCCCAAGCUUUGUUGCAGUCUUUAUGAACCAAAGGAUGAGACGGCAAGCUGAGAACUUGAGGUGAAGCUAGAUCUGGAACGGCUACGAUUGCAGGUUCACCGAGGAUGAGAAAGCUCCGCAUACUACUCAGCUGCUUCGAGAAUGGAAGAGGAAAGAAGAAUCCAUUUUGAUUCUUGAUCUUUUUUUUUUUUUUUUUGUAGAUCUAGGAUUUGAUUUGCCUCGAAGAUAGUUCUCCUUAGCCCCUCCUUCUAGCGCCAAUUGUUUGAUCCAAAAAUGGUAUUUAUAUUUGUGAUGUUUGUUGGAAUCAAUCAAAUAAAAAAUCUAAACAUAAAAGCUUAGAUUUUUGAGGUUUAUAAGAAAUCAACAUAGAAAUCAAAUAGAAAAUAAACAUCAAAAGAGUUUGUUGAUUUAAAAUUGUAUUACAUGUAAGAUAACAAGUGUAAAUAAAUUUAAUAAUCCAUAAACUCUUUGUAGAAUGUGUUUUAAGUCUAAAAUGGAGAGAAGAAGAUCCAUCUAAGAAGGAGAUAGCUCCUUAUUUAUAGAAGGAUGACGCUUAUAACUUUCUAGUAAUAUGGACAUAAUUCAUUGUCUAAUGGGCCUUAAGGGAGGAUGUAAAUCCACCCCCAACAUCUACGAUGAUGUUGACGGCAACAAAUGAGAAAGAGAAUGUGUAGGCAUAUAUAGCUAGGUUUAGAAGUUGAUUAAUUAAAUAACUAAACCAACACCACUGGUUCGUAUAAGGGUUUGGUUCAAUAAAUAAUUAAAUAAACCAGGCUAUGGUUUUAUAAGAAUUGGGUCGUUACAAGCACGUCCUGGAGAUUCGAGACGAGCGCGGCCGACAAGCCGUUGUUCUUCGAGGUCAUCGUGUCGAAAGAGAGAACACGCAGAUGAGGUGGGUCCUGUCUUGAAGAAGAAGAAGAAAGUUGGGAGAGGGAGAGAGAGCGGGUCUAACGGACGAAAGAGAGAAGCUUUAAUUGGCAGAGAGAGAGAGAUUACUUGUGUCAACUGUUAUCUCGUUUUAGAUUGAGAAGAAGAAGAACAGUGACGCGCUAUUUUUUUCCAACCAGAAAACAUAAAUAUUAAUAAGUAUACAAUUUAAGUGAAUAAAAUAUUUAUUUUAGUAAUAUUUUAGUUAAUUAGCCAUAUAAAUACAUAAACCUUAUAAUUAAAAUAAAUUAUUUGGAAUAGUAUUUCUUACAAGUUAA
rnacentral:lncRNA from 1 species